rnacentral:rRNA from 1 species
AAAAGCGUAAACGGUAUACGAUGGACCCGCGUCUGAUUAGCUAGUUGGCGGGGUAGAGGCCCACCAAGGCGACGAUCAGUAGCCGGCCUGAGAGGGUGACCGGCCACAUUGGGACUGAGACACGGCCCAAACUCCUACGGGAGGCAGCAGUGGGGAAUAUUGCACAAUGGGGGGAACCCUGAUGCAGCGACGCCGCGUGAGUGAAGAAGUAUUUCGGUAUGUAAAGCUCUAUCAGCAGGGAAGAAAAUGACGGUACCUGACUAAGAAGCCCCGGCUAACUACGUGCCAGCAGCCGCGGUAAUACGUAGGGGGCAAGCGUUAUCCGGAUUUACUGGGUGUAAAGGGAGCGUAGACGGUUAUGCAAGUCUGAAGUGAAAGCCCAAGGCUCAACCAUGGGACUGCUUUGGAAACUGUAAAACUGGAGUGCAGGAGAGGUAAGCGGAAUUCCUAGUGUAGCGGUGAAAUGCGUAGAUAUUAGGAGGAACACCAGUGGCGAAGGCGGCUUACUGGACUGUAACUGACGUUGAGGCUCGAAGGCGUGGGGAGCAAACAGGAUUAGAUACCCUGGUAGUCCACGCGGUAAACGAUGAUCACUAGGUGUCGGUGGGUAGAGACCCAUCG